rnacentral:rRNA from 1 species
UACGUAGGGUGCAGGCGUUAAUCGGAAUUACUGGGCGUAAAGCGUGCGCAGGCGGUCUUUUAAGUCAGAUGUGAAAUCCCCGGGCUUAACCUGGGAACUGCGUUUGAAACUGGAAGGCUUGAGUGUGGCAGAGGGGGGUGGAAUUCCGCGUGUAGCAGUGAAAUGCGUAGAUAUGCGGAGGAACACCGAUGGCGAAGGCAAUCCCCUGGACCUGUACUGACGCUCAUGCACGAAAGCGUGGGGAGCAAACAGG